CGCUAGCGGGAGGCUUAACACAUGCAAGUCGAGGGGUAACAUGGUUUUCGGACUGAUGACGACCGGCGCACGGGUGCGUAACGCGUAUGCAACCUUCCUUAUGCAGGAGGAUAGCCCAUGGAAACGUGGAUUAAUACUCCAUACUAUUAGUAUUAUGCAUGUAAUAUUAAUAAAAACUACGGUGGCAUAAGAUGGGCAUGCGUCUGAUUAGUUAGUUGGUGAGGUAACGGCUCACCAAGGCGACGAUCAGUAGGGGUUCUGAGAGGAUUAUCCCCCACACUGGUACUGAGACACGGACCAGACUCCUACGGGAGGCAGCAGUGAGGAAUAUUGGUCAAUGGGUGAGAGCCUGAACCAGCCAUCCCGCGUGCAGGAUGACGGCCCUAUGGGUUGUAAACUGCUUUUCUACGCCAAGAAAGGUCCCUACGUGUAGGGAAUUGACGGUAGCGUAGGAAUAAGCAUCGGCUAACUCCGUGCCAGCAGCCGCGGUAAUACGGAGGAUGCAAGCGUUAUCCGGAUUUAUUGGGUUUAAAGGGUGCGCAGGCGGGUUUUUAAGUCAGUGGUGAAAUACUGCCGCUUAACGGUAGAAUUGCCAUUGAAACUAGGAAUCUUGAGUGUGGUUGAGGUAGGCGGAAUGUGUAGUGUAGCGGUGAAAUGCAUAGAUAUUACACAGAACACCGAUUGCGGAGGCAGCUUACUAAGCCAUAACUGACGCUGAGGCACGAAAGCGUGGGGAGCGAACAGGAUUAGAUACCCUGGUAGUCCACGCUGUAAACGAUGUUCACUCGCUGUUUGCGAUACACAGUAAGCGGCUGAGCGAAAGCAUUACGUGAACCACCUGGGGAGUACGAUCGCAAGGUUGAAACUCAAAGGAAUUGGCGGGGGCCCGCACAAGCGGAGGAACAUGUGGUUUAAUUCGAUGAUACGCGAGGAACCUUACCUGGGCUUAAUGUAGACUGCCUAGGAUGGAAACCUUCUUUCCCUUCGGGGCU
rnacentral:rRNA from 1 species